UCACAUGGUCUCUCUAAAGUUAUCGUUUAUUACUCAACCACCUGGGUGGAAGGGUUUGACUCAUCAGAGGAUGUAGAUUAACUUUAGAUGCCCUCUCCUUCCUGAGUUUUGAGACUGUCAGCUACCGACAGUGGUAACCUCUAUCUGCUUCGUACAAGCUGUCCAAGAUCCUAGACAAGUUGUAGAAGUUGUAGAAGUUGUAGAAGUGUUUUAUUUUGCUGGCGGAUUCUACCUGAAACCUUUUCUGAACUCUAAAAUGAUAUAUUUGCUUUCUUGGGGUCAGCUUAACUCUGACUUCAGCCUUCAGCUCCUUUUUAUCAGCAGCUUGACCUACAUAACAACAGUAACCAAGUGUGGUCAUUGCUUUAGAUUGGUCAAGUGCCAUAUCUUCACCAAACAAUGUAAACUGCAGUGCUGUGCAAAAGUAUUUGUUCCUGAUUUCUGCUGUUUUUGUGUAUAUCUCUUACAAAUUGUUUCAGAAAUUAAAACAAAGUCUAAGAUAAAACAAAGGCAACCUGAGUAAACACAAUGAAAAAUGUUUUUUUU